rnacentral:rRNA from 1 species
UACGUAGGCAGCGAGCGUUGUUCGGAGUUACUGGGCGUAAAGAGUGCGUAGGCGGUUUGCUAAGACAGGUGUGAAAUCCCCGGGCUUAACCUGGGAACUGCGCUUGUAACUGGCAAGCUGGAGUGUGGCAGAGGGGGGUGGAAUUCCACGUGUAGCAGUGAAAUGCGUAGAGAUGUGGAGGAACACCGAUGGCGAAGGCAGCCCCCUGGGCUAACACUGACGCUCAUGCACGAAAGCGUGGGGAGCAAACAGG